rnacentral:rRNA from 1 species
UACGUAGGUGGCAAGCGUUGUCCGGAUUUAUUGGGUUUAAAGGGUGCGUAGGCGGACUGUUAAGUCAGCGGUAAAAUUGAGAGGCUCAACCUCUUCCCGCCGUUGAAACUGGUGGUCUUGAGUGGAUGAGAAGUACGCGGAAUGCGUGGUGUAGCGGUGAAAUGCAUAGAUAUCACGCAGAACUCCGAUUGCGAAGGCAGCGUACCGGCAUCCAACUGACGCUGAGGCACGAAAGCGUGGGGAUCAAACAGG